GCAGGAGCGUUGACAUGGGGACAAUUGGGGGGGGGGACAUUGUCUGAUGUGGACAUCUGUGAGCCCCCAGAGCCUUUCGAGGUGUCUCUGCAGGAAGCCAUCCAAAUGAUUUGGGUGAAGCUGGGCCAGUUGGAGCAAGCUCCUGCCUGCAUCCCCCCCUGCGGGCACCAGCCGGCCGCCCGCGUCUUCCAGUGCGCGACCUGCCGCCUCGUGGACUGCC